rnacentral:rRNA from 1 species
CGUGUAGGCGGCUGGAUAAGUCAGAUGUGAAAGCCCUGGGCUUAACCCAGGAAGUGCAUUUGAAACUGUUCAGCUUGAGUAAGGGAGAGGAAAGUGGAAUUCCUGGUGUAGAGGUGAAAUUCGUAGAUAUCAGGAGGAACACCGGUGGCGAAGGCGACUUUCUGGCCCUAUACUGACGCUGAGACGCGAGAGCGUGGGUAGCAAACAG